ensembl:snRNA U6 U6 spliceosomal RNA
AUGCCCACUUCCGCAGCACAUAUACUAAAAUUGGAACGAUAUAGAGAUUAGCAUGGCCCCUGUGCAAGGAUGACACACAAAUUCAUGAAGCAUUCUAUAUUUUU